ensembl:snRNA U6 U6 spliceosomal RNA
GUGCUUGCUUCAGCAACACAUAUGCUAAAACUGGAACCAUUACAGAGAUUAGCAAGGCCUCUGCAAAAGGAUAACACGCAAAUCUGUAAAGCAUUCCAUAUAAAA